rnacentral:rRNA from 1 species
UACGAGGGGGGCGAGCGUUGUUCGGAAUUAUUGGGCGUAAAGGGCGCGUAGGCGGUGCGGUAAGUCACCUGUGAAAUCUCCUGGCUCAACUGGGAGCUUGCAGGCGAAACUGCCGUGCUGGAGUGUGGGAGAGGUGCGUGGAAUUCCCGGUGUAGCGGUGAAAUGUGUAGAUAUCGGGAGGAACACCUGUGGCGAAAGCGGCGCACUGGACCACAACUGACGCUGAGGCGCGAAAGCUAGGGGAGCAAACAGG